AUACGGAGGAUCCGAGCGUUAUUCGGAUUUAUUGGGUUUAAAGGGUGCGCAGGCGGCCAUUUAAGUCAGCGGUUAAAUCGUGGGGCUCAACCCCAUUCUGCCGUUGAUACUGGGUGGCUUGAUUGCGGUCGAGGUUGGCGGAAUUCGUUGUGUAGCGGUGAAAUGCAUAGAUAUGACGAAGAACACCGAUUGCGUAGGCAGCUGACCAGAUCGCAAAUGACGCUCAUGCACGAAAGUGCGGGGAUCGAACAGGAUUAGAUGCCCUGGUAGUCCGCACAGUAAACGAUGAAUACUUGUUUUCGGCGAUAUAAUGUCGGAGGCAAAGCGAAAGCGAUAAGUAUUCCACCUGGGGAGUACGCCGGCAACGGUGAAACUCAAAUGAAUUGGCGGGG
rnacentral:rRNA from 1 species